UACGUAGGGUGCAAGCGUUGUCCGGAAUUAUUGGGCGUAAAGAGCUCGUAGGCGGUUUGUCGCGUCUGCUGUGAAAACCCGAGGCUCAACCUCGGGCCUGCAGCCGAUACGGGCAAGCUAGAGUUCGGUAGGGGAGACUGGAAUUCCUGGUGUAGCGGUGAAAUGCGCAGAUAUCAGGAGGAACACCGGUGGCGAAGGCAGGUCUCCUGGGCUGACACUGACGCUCAUGCACGAAGCGUGGGGAGCAAACAGG
rnacentral:rRNA from 1 species